rnacentral:rRNA from 1 species
AUGCUGGAGGUAUCAGAAGUGCGAAUGCUGACAUAAGUAACGAUAAAGCGGGUGAAAAGCCCGCUCGCCGGAAGACCAAGGGUUCCUGUCCAACGUUAAUCGGGGCAGGGUGAGUCGACCCCUAAGGCGAGGCCGAAAGGCGUAGUCGAUGGGAAACAGGUUAAUAUUCCUGUACUUGGUGUUACUGCGAAGGGGGGACGGAGAAGGCUAUGUUGGCCGGGCGACGGUUGUCCCGGUUUAAGCGUGUAGGCUGGUUUUCCAGGCAAAUCCGGAAAAUCAAGGCUGAGGCGUGAUGACGAGGCACUACGGUGCUGAAGCAACAAAUGCCCUGCUUCCAGGAAAAGCCUCUAAGCAUCAGGUAACAUCAAAUCGUACCCCAAACCGACACAGGUGGUCAGGUAGAGAAUACCAAGGCGCUUGAGAGAACUCGGGUGAAGGAACUAGGCAAAAUGGUGCCGUAACUUCGGGAGAAGGCACGCUGAUAUGUAGGUGAAGCGACUUGCUCGUGGAGCUGAAAUCAGUCGAAGAUACCAGCUGGCUGCAACUGUUUAUUAAAAACACAGCACUGUGCAAACACGAAAGUGGACGUAUACGGUGUGACGCCUGCCCGGUGCCGGAAGGUUAAUUGAUGGGGUCAGCGCAAGCGAAGCUCUUGAUCGAAGCCCCGGUAAACGGCGGCCGUAACUAUAACGGUCCUAAGGUAGCGAAAUUCCUUGUCGGGUAAGUUCCGACCUGCACGAAUGGCGUAAUGAUGGCCAGGCUGUCUCCACCCGAGACUCAGUGAAAUUGAACUCGCUGUGAAGAUGCAGUGUACCCGCGGCAAGACGGAAAGACCCCGUGAACCUUUACUAUAGCUUGACACUGAACAUUGAGCCUUGAUGUGUAGGAUAGGUGGGAGGCUUUGAAGUGUGGACGCCAGUCUGCAUGGAGCCGACCUUGAAAUACCACCCUUUAAUGUUUGAUGUUCUAACGUUGACCCGUAAUCCGGGUUGCGGACAGUGUCUGGUGGGUAGUUUGACUGGGGCGGUCUCCUCCUAAAGAGUAACGGAGGAGCACGAAGGUUGGCUAAUCCUGGUCGGACAUCAGGAGGUUAGUGCAAUGGCAUAAGCCAGCUUGACUGCGAGCGUGACGGCGCGAGCAGGUGCGAAAGCAGGUCAUAGUGAUCCGGUGGUUCUGAAUGGAAGGGCCAUCGCUCAACGGAUAAAAGGUACUCCGGGGAUAACAGGCUGAUACCGCCCAAGAGUUCAUAUCGACGGCGGUGUUUGGCACCUCGAUGUCGGCUCAUCACAUCCUGGGGCUGAAGUAGGUCCCAAGGGUAUGGCUGUUCGCCAUUUAAAGUGGUACGCGAGCUGGGUUUAGAACGUCGUGAGACAGUUCGGUCCCUAUCUGCCGUGGGCGCUGGAGAACUGAGGGGGGCUGCUCCUAGUACGAGAGGACCGGAGUGGACGCAUCACUGGUGUUCGGGUUGUCAUGCCAAUGGCACUGCCCGGUAGCUAAAUGCGGAAGAGAUAAGUGCUGAAAGCAUCUAAGCACGAAACUUGCCCCGAGAUGAGUUCUCCCUGACUCCUUGAGAGUCCUGAAGGAACGUUGAAGACGACGACGUUGAUAGGCCGGGUGUGUAAGCGCAGCGAUGCGUUGAGCUAACCGGUACUAAUGAACCGUGAGGCUUAACCUUACAACGCCGAAG